rnacentral:rRNA from 1 species
AUUGAACGCUGGCGGCAGGCUUAACACAUGCAAGUCGAGCGAGCGGCGGACGGGUGAGUAAUGUCUGGGAAACUGCCUGAUGGCGGGGGAUAACUACUGGAAACGGUAGCUAAUACCGCAUACCAUCAGAUGUGCCCAGAUGGGAUUAGCUAGUAGGUGGGGAAAUGGCUCACCUGGGCGAGGAUCCCUAGCUGGUCUGAGAGGAUGACCAGCAACACGGGAACGGGGACACGGUCCAGACUCCUACGGGAGGCAGCGGUGGGGAAUAUUGCACAAUGGGCGCAAGCCUGAUGCAGCAAGGCCGCGUGUGUGAAGAAGGCCUUCGGGUUGUAAAGCACUUUCAGCGAGGAGGCGUUACUCGCAGAAGAAGCACCGGCUAACUCCGUGCCAGCAGCCGCGGUAAUAC